UUGCCAUGUGAGACUUUUGGGUUGCUUGGUUGGCUUCAAGGUUCCAGCACCGUCGUGCACGUUACCGCUGGCUGCUUGUCUUGGGCCGCAGCUAGCUAGCAGCAUCCUCCAAGGCGAAGGCGAAGCUCCUCUCCGGCCUCCACUCUCCACGCCUGACCGACCUGACGCUCCAGAAUCCGAAUCCGCCCGUCAGUCUCCAUUGACCUCCUCUGCUUGUCCUGCCGCAGCGUCUGUCCCGUCCUCGUCGCUGGCCCUGCUGCUCCCGCGGCCUAGGCCUGCGAGCGCUUCUCCCAGCCGCGUCCGUUCUUAAAUCUCCAGAUCAUUUAUUAUAAUGUGGGGUGAGAGAACUCAUCACAAGCACUGGCAUCAAGGGCAUGGUCCAUCCGGAAGUUCCAAGGACAAAAAACAUGACAAACGGCAGCCCAAAUUUAUACCUGACAAUUAUAGCUCGGUGGAUGAGGUCACUACUGCACUGAGAGAAGCUGGUCUCGAAUCAUCAAAUCUAAUUCUUGGUAUUGACUUCACCAAAAGCAAUGAAUGGUCAGGUAGGCAUUCCUUUGGAAGAAAAUCUCUACAUGCCAUUAACGGCAACCCAAAUCCAUACGAGCAAGCUAUCUCUAUAAUUGGGCGAACACUGUCACCUUUUGAUGAUGAUAACUUAAUACCAUGUUUUGGAUUUGGCGAUGCUUCUACGCAUGAUCACUCCGUCUUCAGCUUCUACCAGGAUAGUCGUCCCUGUCGUGGCUUCGAGGAGGUUCUUGUAAGGUAUCGACAAAUUGUUCCACAUUUGAAUCUUUCAGGACCAACUUCUUUUGCACCUCUGAUUUAUGCAGCGAUUUCUGUUGUUGAAAAUAGUAAUUGGCAAUACCAUGUCCUCGUAAUCAUAGCUGAUGGACAGGUGACUACUGCUAAUACAAAUGAUGGAAGAUUAAGUCCACAAGAACAGGCAACCAUAAAAGCAAUUGUUGAUGCUAGUCACUAUCCUCUUUCAAUAGUAAUGGUUGGGGUGGGUGAUGGACCGUGGGAUGCAAUGCAGCAUUUUGAUGACUGUAUCCCUGACAGAACUUUUGACAAUUUCCAGUUUGUGAACUUCACUGAUAUUAUGUCAACAAGUAAGGACAUGUCAAAGAAGGAGGCUGCAUUUGCCCUUGCAGCUCUUAUGGAAAUACCUUCUCAGUAUAAAGCAACUCAAGGCAUCCGAUAUGAAGACAAGCACAAAGGAUUGGCUCUCCUAGGAUUCUUCCUCCUCCAAAUAAAGUUAUUGAACAUUAUAAUGCAGCAGCUUCACAUCCUCCUCCAACUGCAAGCUCCCGGUCAACUGGCAUUGGCAAAAAUGCUGCUGAUGAGCAGGUAUGCCCCAUCAGGGGCGAAGCCAGAUGAGAGAGUCGCCGGGGUCGGAUGGCCUAAACGCUGGGGUCGGCCACAUGAUUAAAAGUGCUAAACAGUAAUCUUCCAUUGAUUUGAUCAAAUUUCGUCGGGGUCCGGCGACCCCGACAGCUACACGCAGCUCCGCCCCUAUGCCCCAUCUGUUUAACCAAUCCAAAGGACAUGGCUUUUCAGUGUGGUCACCUGACAUGUAAGGAAUGUGGUCCAACCCUAUCGACAUGCCCAUUGUGCUGUGCUUCGAUUACCAUGCGUGUGAGGCUCUACUCUUAAAACGGUGUGGCCUUCUGAAGGGAAGGGAUCGACAGUUACAUCCAUGGGAUGCCAAUCAGUAAGGAGCAAGAACUCGCAAGCACAAGGCUUUGCACUGCAUUCUCGAAUGCGAAUGUCAUGAAAAAACAUGUAAAAAAACUUCUCCGUGCCUAUUCAGUAAUGAUGGUUGAUGAAUAAUUUCAUCUAUUGCAUGUAAAAAAUGUAUCCAUAUCAUGCAUCAAUAUCAGGGAAUUGUGUUCUUGUGUUCAUACUAGAGAAUAGAUACUUUAGAUGGAUGGUGUGCGCUGUUACGUUCA